AGGUGUACCAGCAUAAAGCUUACCAACUCCAGAGACAACCACCUCCUCAUCCAAUGUUACUGCUUCCUCUGAUAUUUCAGCUU
rnacentral:lncRNA from 1 species